rnacentral:rRNA from 1 species
UGGGGAAUAUUGCACAAUGGGCGAAAGCCUGAUGCAGCAACGCCGCGUGAGGGACGACGGCCUUCGGGUUGUAAACCUCUUUUAGCAAGGAAGAAGCGAAAGUGACGGUACUUGCAGAAAAAGCGCCGGCUAACUACGUGCCAGCAGCCGCGGUAAUACGUAGGGCGCAAGCGUUAUCCGGAAUUAUUGGGCGUAAAGAGCUCGUAGGCGGUUUGUCGCGUCUGCUGUGAAAACCCGAGGCUCAACCUCGGGCCUGCAGUGGGUACGGGCAGACUAGAGUGCGUAGGGGAGAUUGGAACUCCUGGUGUAGCGGUGGAAUGCGCAGAUAUCAGGAAGAACACCGAUGGCGAAGGCAGAUCUCUGGGCCGUAACUGACGCUGAGGAGCGAAAGGGUGGGGAGCAAACAGGGCUUAGAUGACCCUGGUAGUCCACCCGUAAACGUUGGGAACUAGUUGUGGGGUCCAUUUUCACGGAUUCCGUGACGCAGCUAACGCAUUAAGUUCCCCGCCU